GCCCCGGUAGCUCAGUGGAUAGAGCAGCAGCCUUCUAAGCUGACGGCCGCAGGUUCAAUUCCUGCUCGGGGCGCCA
rnacentral:tRNA from 1 species